GGGGGCCGUACGAUGGCGGAGAAGACUCAAAAGAGUGUGAAGAUUGCUCCUGGAGCUGUUGUAUGUGUAGAAAGUGAGAUCAGAGGAGAUAUAACUAUCGGACCUCGGACAGUGGUCCACCCUAAAGCACGAAUUAUUGCGGAAGCCGGGCCAAUAGUGAUUGGCGAAGGGAACCUGAUAGAAGAACAGGCCCUUAUCAUAAAUGCUUACCCGGAUAAUAUCACUCCUGACACUGAAGAUCCAGAACCAAAACCUAUGAUCAUUGGCACCAAUAAUGUGUUUGAAGUUGGCUGUUAUUCCCAAGCCAUGAAGAUGGGAGAUAAUAAUGUCAUUGAAUCAAAAGCAUAUGUAGGGAGAAAUGUAAUACUGACAAGUGGCUGCAUCAUUGGGGCUUGUUGCAACCUAAAUACUUUUGAAGUCAUCCCUGAGAAUACAGUGAUCUAUGGUGCAGACUGCCUUCGUCGGGUGCAGACUGAGCGACCACAGCCCCAGACACUACAGCUGGAUUUCUUGAUGAAAAUCUUGCCAAAUUACCAUCACCUAAAGAAGACUAUGAAAGGAAGCUCAACUCCAGUAAAGAACUAAGAACAGUAGAUGACAUGAAGAUAACAUUUUUGUCUUUGACCACUGUCUUUUGAAUGGGCCACAGUGUUUAUGUACUCUUAGCAACUCACAGGAUAAUACAUGUUGACUUUAUUUUGUAAAAUUGGGUUGAGAGGAAAGUAAUGGAUUUUCAUUGUAACUGUCCUUUAUAAUUUAUAUAAAAUGUAUUAUUUUCCUAUAU